CGGACGGGUGAGUAACGCGUGAGUAACCUGCCUUACACAAGGGGAUAGCCGUUGGAAACGACGAAUAAUACCCUAUGACAUAAACUCUUCGCAUGAGGAGCUUAUCAAAGAUUUAUCGGUGUAAGAUGGACUCGCGUCUGAUUAGCUAGUUGGUGAGGUAACGGCCCACCAAGGCGACGAUCAGUAGCCGGAUUGAGAGAGUGUACGGCCACAUUGGGACUGAGACACGGCCCAGACUCCUACGGGAGGCAGCAGAC
rnacentral:rRNA from 1 species